CACACCCACUGCCUUAAAAGUAAAGGGUUUUUUAAGCUGUCCUCAUAGCUACCUGGAAGUGAGCAGUGUUAUCUUUCUAUUUGUCAGAUUUAAAGGAAAAAAAUGAGGCCUUCACAAAACUAAUGGAAAUUUAUUAUGAAAAAAACUACAUGGAUUGAUUAUUCCAUUUUUCCACAAAGUUUGAGGAAAUCCUCAUGUUAAUAUUUGCUGAAACUGCUUGGUGCAUCAUGUCAUGCAGGCGUUGACUUAUAACAGUUGUCAAUAGUGAUUAGUAGAGACUCAAGACAUGCAAGUCAGUGUGGUGUACCAGUUGCAGUUAGAUUGUGCAGACUAACAUAUAACUCAGAAGUUGGAGGGAAAUGGAAUUUUUACUAGUGUUUUAAAAAGGCAUUUCCUUCUCCAAAGCCUGCUCGAGCCUGAUUUGUGUUUCUAGAAGUCCUCAGAGAGGUGGCUGAGUGGUGAGACUGCAGGCGCAUCUCGGAGAGGUGGCUGCGGUGCAACAUGACUAGAGUUAGCAUUUCCUUCCGCUGCUUGUCUUGAGUUUGUCUAAAGAAUAACAAUCUAGUGGUUAGAAAUAGUA